CUUAUCAUCAUCAAUUUCUUUAGAAUAAGAAAUAGACUCCAUCUUCUCCAUUUUUGAGAAGCCAAAACAGAACCCUCCUCCUAUGAUGCUAACUUCAUGAUUUCUCCUCCAAAGUUCAUGAUUCUUGAAACAAAUCAAUCCUAAGCCUAAGGUAAUCAAGGUGUUAUAAGCUCACAUGGAGGAUUUUUUAUGGUGAUUUGUGAUGCUAAGGCUUCGGCAUAAGGUCUACAUCCAAGGCGCACAUAUAUUCUGAAUUUGGAAAAGGUUAAAUUUCUAAAAUUGAAUGAGAAUUGAUGAUGAUGUUCGGCAAUGGUGUAGUGAUGUUGGUGUUUGAUAGUUGAUUAUGUGUUAGAUAUGGAAUUGUUGUUGUAUGAUUGAUUAUUGAAUGGAAUUUUGAUAAGGUAAAGGGCUAAGGGUUUCGACCAUGGAGCUUAGGUGAAGAUAUGAGGAUCAAUUUUUGAUUUCAUGCUUUGGUUAUGAACAUAUAGGGCUGAAUUAUAGACAAAUAUGAUUGUUAAUGUUUGAUGCAAAUUUGAUUGAAGAUGAGAUUAUGGUUCGGCCUAGGUGUGGAUUUCAUAACUAAAUGAAUUUGAUAUGUUUAAAUGAUAAAUUGUAAAUGGUAUUGAUGUGCAUAGGGGCUGGAUUGUAUUUCUGAUAAAAGCAUGUUAUCGAUAGGUUACAGGUCAUGUUGCGUAAUAAGUUACGAUUAAGGUUUAUGCAAACUAGUUGACGUUUUGAUAAAUUGUUAUAGGAAUUGCUACAUUGAGCUCAUAAAUUUCAACUGAAAAUUGGAAUUGCCGAAGGAUUUCUCAUGUUCAAGGUCAUGAUGCUCUAAUAAGGAAUUUGCGCUCAGUUGUUGGUUCUUGAGAGCAAAAUGACCUGGUUUUACACAGCGGAGGUUGCAUCAAGUAAGUUACCAGGCUUAAUUGAAAACAAGCGGCAGAAAUAUAUGUGAACGACUUAAGGAAUAAGGAGAAUCUGCGGGUAGAAUUUUAUGUGAAAAUCAUACUAGUAUCAUUUGGUUCGAUUAAAAAUAUAGUAUAAAAUAUAGAGUAAUAUAUUCAAGUUGUAGCUUGCUAAAUAAUUAGCUCUGCUUGGAGUUGGUUCGCUAGCCCCCUUGGAUUGGACACAAAGAGGCUCUCAACAGAAUGUUUUAAAGUGGAUUGAUUUAUCUCUCAAACCGUUUCAAAAAGAUGGAGUGGAAUUCUUUUGGGUCUUGAGCUGGAUGAUAUGGUUUGUGAGAAACCAAUUCUGUUUCGACGGCAUUGAUCUUAAUUGUGGCAGAAUUAUUGUCAGUAGUAGCAAUGUUUUGAAUGAUUUUCAUGCUGCUAAUAGAACUGUUAAUACUGCUGUUAAUAGACAUAAUGUCAGAUGGCGUGGUCUGGAUCCAGAUUGGAUUGGGCUGACCUCAGACGCAGGGAGUGCAGGUCAGGGAAGAUGAGGGCUGGGCUUUGUUAUUCAGGAGAAUGUUGGAGACGUUCUGGCAGGGGGAAACAAGUUGCUGAUUUCCGCGUCUCCAAUUGUUAUUGCAGAGGGUGAAGCAUUAAGUCUUGCUCUGCAGAUUGCUUCAGAUUCCAACUGGCAGCAUGUAGUGGCAGAAAGCGACAACAUCCAACUGAUAAAUGCGCUGCAAGGUAAUGAAAUUUACAUAUCCAAACUUUGUGAUACCGUCCAGAAUAUCCAGCUCAUUGCGAGCAGAUUCCAGCAAGUUAUUUGGUCUUUCACUCCUAGAAAGCCAAAUCGUUUGGCUCAAGAAUUUGCUGCAAAAGCUGAUAGUGUGGGAGAACUUUUUGGUAGAAGAACUGCAGGAGUUUUUGAAGAAUUUUGGAGCAGUGAUAAGAGAGGAAUGAGCCAAGUGAUUUGAUAUUUGCUUGUUGCUUUCUUUUUGGUUUGUGUCAUCUGCUUCUGUUAAUACUUGGUCGCAGUUAGUUAUUCCUCAAAAAAAUAAAUUAGUUGCGCUUGUUCCAAAUAUAGAAAAAUCAGAAUCUUUUUUAUAAGAGAAAUGCUAUACCACACGAAUUGGUAUAAGCACACGAAACACUAUUUUCUUGAAAUGGUAAUAAUCAAUGCUAAAUGGCUAACGAAGAAGCAAACUUUUCAAGAUUUUUUGUCUGUAUUCUUUCUGUAGAAACUAUUCAUUUUCUUUUCUAUUAAUUCUGGAGAAACUGCAAUCAUAUUGAGUGGUUACUUUAUUUUAUGCUUCAGUUGAUUGUUGUA